rnacentral:rRNA from 1 species
UGGGGAAUAUUGGACAAUGGGCGCAAGCCUGAUCCAGCAACGCCGCGUGGAGGACGAAGGUCUUCGGAUUGUAAACUCCUGUCAGGUGGGACGAAGGAACGCCGGUGAAUAAUCGGCGUUCUUGACGGUACCGCCAGAGGAAGCCCCGGCUAACUCCGUGCCAGCAGCCGCGGUAAUACGGAGGGGGCGAGCGUUAUUCGGAAUUAUUGGGCGUAAAGGGCGCGUAGGCGGCCCGGUAAGUCAAAGGUGAAAUCCCUCGGCUCAACUGAGGAAUUGCCUUUGAAACUGCAGGGCUUGAGGCCGGGAGGGGGUAGUGGAAUUCCCAGUGUAGCGGUGAAAUGCGUAGAUACUGGGAGGAACACCAGUGGCGAAGGCGGCUACCUGGACCGGUUCUGACGCUGAUGCGCGAAAGCGUGGGGAGCAAACAGG